rnacentral:rRNA from 1 species
AGUGAACGCUGGCGGUAGGCCUAACACACGCAAGUCGAACGGCAGCACAGAGGAGCUUGCUCCUUGGGUGGCGAGUGGCGGACGGGUGAGGAAUACAUCGGAAUCUACUCUGUAGUGGGGGAUAACGUAGGGAAACUUACGCUAAUACCGCAUACGACCUACGGGUGAAAGCAGGGGACCUUCGGGCCUUGCGCGAUUGAAUGAGCCGAUGUCGGAUUAGCUAGUUGGCGGGGUAAAGGCCCACCAAGGCGACGAUCCGUAGCUGGUCUGAGAGGAUGAUCAGCCACACUGGAACUGAGACACGGUCCAGACUCCUACGGGAGGCAGCAGUGGGGAAUAUUGGACAAUGGGCGCAAGCCUGAUCCAGCCAUACCGCGUGGGUGAAGAAGGCCUUCGGGUUGUAAAGCCCUUUUGUUGGGAAAGAAAUCCAGCUGGCUAAUACCCGGUUGGGAUGACGGUACCCAAAGAAUAAGCACCGGCUAACUUCGUGCCAGCCGCCGCGUAA